AACCUCAGCAGACUACAUUGACAAGUGACAACUGUUUUCAUAAAUUCCACCAGCAUGAAAUAACAACCCACCGAACUCUAUUUAAAACCAGCAGCAGAAUACUGCUAUAAUAUUGUUAUUUGUCCCUGCCCAAUAAAUACAGUAGAUUACCCAUAAAUUUAUUUCAUUCAAUUUCUUAUAAAUUCAAUCCUGUAAUCUUUAAACAUAUAAACCCACAAAAAAAUCAUAAUACCCUUCACUCAAAAAAUCUCAUUUUUUUUUUUUUGGAUUAUAUGGCGUCUCUGGUUUUGCUUGUAUCAGAAUUUCUUCAUCCCCAGAAUACCCAGAUUCUGUAUACUUACCAUUCUUCAUCAGUUUCAAAUUUGCAGAAAAAGAACAGUAAAAGUAGAAGUAAUUAUAAUAAUAAUAAUAAUGGUGAAGAUUUGAAGCAAGUAAAGGAUCAAGCUGAUUUGAAUAUGGAUGAUGAUGAUUUGCCUCAUUUAAGCAUUGAUUCUCAGCUUGUUUGGCCUUGAAUUUUGUGUUAAAUUUUGAUUAUUUUUUUAUAUAUUUUGAUAGUUUGUUGAUUUUGGAGGAAUUUUAUUAAUUGAGCUUUGUUAAUGAUGAAGUAUUUGACAUAUAAUUAAUUAAACCAAGUUUUAAUCUUUUAAUGCUGUGUGAUUCACUUAAUUGCUUCAUGAAGAAUAAGUCAUUUUGAUCUAAAAUUGAUAAGAUACACUCGAAAUUACAACAUUAAUUUAAGAACUUUAAUUCUUAAAGAUUGAGGUUGGCUGAAUUAAUUUUUGAUUCAUGAUAGAAUGCGAUUAAGUUUUACUGGGUUAGUUUUCACUAAUGUGCCGCAAAUCCUUGUUCUUUAGUUUUACUGAGUUCGUUUUCACUAAUUUGCCGCAGAUCCUUGUUCUUUAUCUGAGUUUAAGACCGAUAAUAAGCAAUAAGCACUCACGGGCAGAGUUAUACCCUCGAAAAUAGUUGGGAACAAAAUGUACCAAAGGAUUCUAAUUAUAAUGCUAAUUUCCGAGCCAUUAUUAACACCUUAAUUCUUUACCGCCUUCUUGAUCUACAUAUAGCUAGGCAAAAGUCGAAAAUUUGAAAUAAAUAAGCAAAAAAAUAUAAAAAAUUAGGAUAAUGGUAAAGUUUUAAAAUUAUUUCUCAAGAUAACCAGUUUUUUUUAAAGCUGUGGUUUGAACCUGUUCGCUGUUACUAACAGCGAACAAAGAGUUGAGGUCAAAAAAGCCAAUGAAUAAGGACUUUGACUAUUUUUGACCAUCAGUCCUUAUUCGCUGUUAAUACCACCGCGCAGACUUGAGCUAACUUCAGCAGCUCUCCCUUUCUUCUUCAUUUUCCUCCAAUUCAAUUAAACCCUAAGCAUUAGUCGAAAAUACUCUUUCUCUUUUCUCCAUUAAAACACCUUCAAACCUUCAAUUAAUCCCUCCCUCUCCCAAUCCAACACCAGUAAAAUGGUCUAGCAUAUACUUGAAGUUGUCUAAGAUAUAAAUUUUUUUGUUUUUUUUGUUAUUCUAUGCGAAAAUUAGGGUUUUAUGUAAUCUUCAAUAUUUGUUUCAAAUGCAGGGCAUUACUUGUAAAAUCACUACUCAUUUAGUUCAAUUUAAGCUGAUUAAGAAAUGACAUCAUUUCGUGUGACUAUUGCAUGUUUUUGGAAUGGUUUCAUUCGUACAAGUGGUAACAAGGUUAUGUAUGUUGGGGGUAGUAAACGUAAAUUGUUUGCAUGCAACUUGAACAUGGAUUUCAAUGAGUUUAAGCUUCUUGUAUGUUCUAAGAUUGGAAUUGACACCACACGAAGUACUGUUAAUUUAAAUUUUAAAUACUACAUGAGUGGUGAAUGGUUAGCUUUUCUAGUUGAGGAUGAUGAUUUUGUAGAUGCUAUGUGGGAGUAUUCAAAGGCUACAUUUAUUCCCUCUUUGGAGUUACAUGUAGAAGUGGUACCCUUAGGCAAUCAAGCUGUGAAUGUUACUUCCAGUCCUUCUUCUACGCCUAUGCCUAUUUUAACUCAAGAAACUCAAAAUUCCUUUGUUCCUUCUCCAUCUUCUACUCCUACUGAAUCCUCUCAAACUCAAGUCCCAAAUGAUGCGACUGUUAAUUUACGAGAAAGUACUGAGUUGGUACCUUGAGAUGAUGGUAAAGAGAGUAAUGAGUUUGUUGAUGAUCCUUUUGAGGAUGAUGUAGAUGUGGAUGUGGAUGUGGAUGUGGAUGUGGAUGUGGAUGGGGAUGCCCUAGCUAAUGACAUGACCCUAGGCAACAUUCCUACAAUCGUUACUCCUACACCUUAUACCCUAUGUCCACUUCUGGAUGAAUAUGUAGAGGACAACUCUUGGAGGACUUGGGUUUGUAAUACCACCUACACCCAAGAUGGGGAGCUUGAAAAGGGUAUGAUAUUUGAUAGUAAGGAAGCUUUAUUGGAAGCUGUUAGAGUCUUCGUAGGAAUGUAGAGUAUAGAACAGAGACUUCUAACCAAACUUCUUUAUCAUUGAAGUGUGAAAGAGGAUGUUCUUGGAAACUAAGGACUAGGCUAAAUCCUUAUUCAACCUCCUGGUUUAUUUCUAAGUACAAUGGAAAGCAUGAGAAUUGUGUGUUGGGUAGUGACACUGUGUCAGCUAGACAUAUUCACUUGACGUCCUCUCUGAUUAAUAAUGUGAUUAGGAAUUGUGUUUUCAAAGACUCUUCGAUUAAGGUGUCCGUUAUUCGACAGAUGGUGAAAAUUCGAUUUGGGAUAGAGGUCACAUACAUGCUAGCAUGGUGUGCUAAGCAACAAGCCCUAUUGUCCAUUUAUGGUACAUGGGAGGAUUCAUAUUCUCUUCUUCCACGCUUUUUGAAAGCGUUGCAACAAUCUAACCCAGGCACAAUAGUUGAGUGGUUCUUUAAGGAAGACAAUGACGCGGGUGUGUAUGUACAUCCUAAUAUUAGAACCUUCCAACGUGUCUUUUGGGCCUUUAGACCAAGUAUAGAGGGCUUUAAGUUUGUAAACCUCUGAUCGCCAUUGAUGAUAUACACUUUUAUGGUAGGUACCGUCAUACCUUAUAGACUGCGAUUGCACAGGAUGGUGAUAAGGAUAUCAUUCCACUUGCAUUUGCCUUGGUUGAGAAGGAAUGCAUAGAUGCGUGGUCUUGGUUCAUGGCGUGUAUUCGUAAGCAUGUAACACAGAAGAUGGGAUUGUGUAUUAUCUCUGAUAGACAUGCGAGCAUUUUAGCGACCAUGGAGGAGACGGAAUGGCAACCACCAUACGCAUAUCAUAGGUUAUGCUUACGUCAUUUGCUUAGUAACUUUAACCGUGCCAUGGGUAAUGUUCAAUUUAAGAAGUUGUUUGGUAGCACUGCUGAGCAAAGAAAGCACACUAAGGUUGUUGAGGGCUUGAGGGCAAUUGGAGUUUCGAAACGAGAGGCUCUUUUUUUGAUUGAUCAAGUAGGUGAUAUGUCUAAGUGGUCAUUGUGUCAUGAUGGGGGUCAUAGGUAUGGUGUGACUAACACCAACUUAGCUGAAGUCUUCAACUUUGUGAUGAUGGGUGUAAGGUUCUUGCCCCCAUCAUGAUACAAUGACCACUUGGACUGGAGCUGCUAGCUCAUGGUGCGCCGAUCGAUGUUGUUGGCGCAUCUACCAGUGCUGAUUACAUGGCGUGGUUCCUCUCCAUCACUCGGUGAUGGAUGACACCACAGGAUUUCGUAGCUGCGUCCCAGUAUGCUCCUGCCGCGCCAGUGAUGACCCAAUUCGCACAAGGUGUGGCAGCGGUGAUCCAAUCGAGCCAUGAGCAUACGAGAGAUUGCGCAGAGCAUGCUCCUUGGUACGCAGUUCCAGCACUUCAUACUGGAAUUGGCUGAAGAGACUUCACCUGCUGCCGGCGAGGUCCAAGUCUUAUCUCCUCCUCAGGACGUUCAUUUGGAGGAGGUGGACUUGUCCUACCCCGAACAUGGUUUGGGGUCCUCGCAGGCUGGACCAUCGCAGUACCAAUCACCUCCAUUCCCCGAGUGACACACGAACGCCUCAUACUAUCGCAGGAGGCGUAAAAGGCCAUCACAGUUGGAGAGAGUGCAGGAGGAGGAUGAGGGUUAGUAAAUAUUUUGUAAUACAUUGAAAAUUUGUGUAUAUUAAAUAUUUGUAGGAUUUCGAUCUUUUGACAUUUGUACAUAGUUUGUAAUGUAUGUAUAUAUGUUUAUCGUUUUUAUCAUAUUUUGAAUAUGAAUCGAAGUUGAUAAUCCUUAUUAGUACAUAGUUUAAUCCAUACUCGGACUUUUGGCGAACAAUCAUCCAUGCUCGGACUUGUUAUGACUUAGUUGAUGACUUCAUUGCAAAUAGUCUGUGCCGAUAAUUCAACAUAAUUUCAUUAAUAAUGAUUAGAAAUACAUCGUUCAUUCAUGAAAUAUAAACCUUACAACUUAAGAACGCUUAUUAAACUUUUUCAAUAUCCUCUCGGUUUCUUCACUCUUACGCGCCUUAUCAAUUGUUCCCUUCUCAAGUUAUGUAUCUUGGUUCUAAGCUCCUCAUUCUCUUUGUCGAGCUUAAUAAUGAUGUCUUUUUGUCAUUUGGUGCCCUUCGGAUCAACCCACCUAAAGUAGGUACAUUCCAAACCUUCAUCUUCGAAUAGUGGACAGACAACAUAUUCACGUCCAGGAUAAAAAUCGCUCCAAUCGCGACCGUAUUUAACUUCAUGACCACAAUGACAGU